AUUGAACGCUGGCGGCAGGCCUAACACAUGCAAGUCGAGCGGGGGUAUCGGAGCUAGCGGCGGACGGAGGAGUAAAGGGUAGGAAGCUACACGGGAGAGGGGGAUACCAGUGGGAAACGACUGUUAAUAGAGCAUAAAGUCUACGGAACAAACUGAGGGAGCUUGGGGCCACAUGCAAUCCGAUGCGCCAAUGUGGGUUUGGCUAGUUGGUGGGGUAAUGGCUCACCAAGGCGACGAUCCCUAGCUGGUUUGAGAGGCUGAUCAGCCACACUGGAACUGAGACACGGUCCAGACUCCUACGGGAGGCAGCAGUGGGGAAUAUUGGACAAUGGGCGCAAGCCUGAUCCAGCCAUGCCGCGUGUGUGAAGAAGGCCUUCGGGUUGUAAAGCACUUUCAGUAGGGAGGAAGGGUGUUGUGUUAAUAGCACAGCAUUUUGACGUUACCUACAGAAGAAGCACCGGCUAACUCUGUGCCAGCCGCCGCAGUAACAC
rnacentral:rRNA from 1 species